GAGCAGUAGGGAAUAUUGGACAAUGGGCGCAAGCCUGAUCCAGCCAUGCCGCGUGAGUGAAGAAGGCCUUCGGGUUGUAAAGCUCUUUUGUCCGGAAAGAAAAGCUUCGGGUCAAUACCCCGGAGUCCUGACGGUACCGGAAGAAUAAGCACCGGCUAACUUCGUGCCAGCAGCCGCGGUAAUACGAAGGGUGCAAGCGUUACUCGGAAUUACUGGGCGUAAAGCGUGCGUAGGUGGUUUGUUAAGUCUGAUGUGAAAGCCCUGGGCUCAACCUGGGAAUGGCAUUGGAUACUGGCAGGCUAGAGUGCGGUAGAGGGUAGUGGAAUUCCCGGUGUAGCAGUGAAAUGCGUAGAGAUCGGGAGGAACAUCUGUGGCGAAGGCGACUACCUGGACCAGCACUGACACUGAGGCACGAAAGCGUGGGGAGCAAACAGGAUUAGAUACCCUGGUAGUCCACGCCCUAAACGAUGCGAACUGGAUGUUGGGCUCAACUUGGAGCUCAGUAUCGAAGCUAACGC
rnacentral:rRNA from 1 species